rnacentral:rRNA from 1 species
GACGAACGCUGGCGGCGUGCCUAACACAUGCAAGUCAAGGAGAAGGAUUCCUUCGGGAGUCCGGAUACUGGCGCACGGGUGAGUAACGCGUAGGUAAUCUGCCCUAAUCCGGGACAUAACGUCGGGAAACCGGCGCUAAUAUCCCAUGAGGUACUUCGGUAUCAAAGCUUCGGCGGUUUAGGAUGAGCCUGCGUCUGAUUAGCUUGUUGGUGAGGUAACGGCUCACCAAGGCUGCGAUCAGUAGCUGGUCUGAGAGGACGAUCAGCCACACUGGAACUGAGACACGGUCCAGACUCCUACGGGAGGCAGCAGUGAGGAAUAUUGGUCAAUGGGGGAAACCCUGAACCAGCGACGCCGCGUGUGGGACGAAGGGGCUUUGCCCUGUAAACCACUGUUGAGAGGGAAGAAAUGCUUUUU